UGUCACCUAAAUGAACAUGUCCCGCUGCCAGCAAAACUAUGCUUCUCUCAAAUCCUGAUGAUUCCAUGGAACAUAAGUGUUUGACAAUUCAUGCAUCAGAGCAAAUGGCCAGACACUCACCAGACCUGCUGCGGCAGCAGUCGUGGAGAAGCUCAUGGAGAAAGACAAGGAGCAGCCAGCAGGAAUCCCGUUGCCUUUCCAUUGGAACCCUAGCCAUUCUAGACUUUGGGAAGAGUAUCCUGAAACCAGAUAGAAGGAAGAUGGGCUCCACCUUCUUUCCAAGAAGAUAGAGAGAUUGGAGAAGAGUAAUAGGAUUAAGGAACAACAAGAAAACCUCACUACUAUCAACUAAAAAAUCACACACACACAACCCAAACACAACAAUUUUCUUAUGUGUAAGUUGUGAUUGAAAUAUAUGAUGAAUGCUCAAUUUAAAAAAUAUUAUAGUAAAAGACACAAUAUCAUUAAUCCUCCUACUAGUGCUCCCACUUGCUUCAAGCAUGCUUAUCUCGUAAGUCUUGCAACCUUCUGAAGCAGUUAUAGAAGUCCUCCUCUUUUCUGAGUGUCUAUAAGGUGUGAUUUAAAAAAAAAAAUACAGUGAACGCUGCCACAACAUGCCACCCAAGAGAAAGGCAGGCCUGUAAAAAGAAAAAAUCACAGUGUGUCAUCCA